rnacentral:rRNA from 1 species
UACAGAGGGUGCGAGCGUUAAUCGGAAUUACUGGGCGUAAAGGGCGCGUAGGCGGUUGUAUAUGUGUGAUGUGAAAGCCCCGGGCUUAACCUGGGAAGUGCAUCGCAAACUGUAUAUCUGGAGUAUAUGAGAGGGUGGCGGAAUUUCCGGUGUAGCGGUGAAAUGCGUAGAGAUCGGAAGGAACGUCAAUGGCGAAGGCAGCCACCUGGCAUAAUACUGACGCUGAGGCGCGAAAGCGUGGGGAGCGAACAGG